rnacentral:lncRNA from 1 species
GGUACUUCAAAGUCGUUUCAGUGACACACGUGUUUCAAGCAUAUAGUUUUACUUAUUUACGAUGGUCUAGAAAAGAAAACUGUCGUUAUGAAGAAAUCUAUUCAAAAGGUUGGCAUGAGAGUAACCCUUCAAUGUAAUGACUACACCUUACACGAGGGAUUCAUUCCAAGUGAUACGAUGCUUCGUUUUGUUGUAAAAACCACUUCUGAAAAAAGGAAAAUUUUAAAAGAAAAAUAUAUUUGUGUUAUUUGGCGAAAAAAAUAAUAAAGUGGCGAAAAAUAUAUUGUUUU